CUUAGUGGCGGACGGGUGAGUAACGCGUGGGGAACCUGCCCUGUACAGGGGGAUAACACUUAGAAAUAGGUGCUAAUACCGCAUAAGCGCACAGUAUCGCAUGAUACAGUGUGAAAAACUCCGGUGGUACAGGAUGGACCCGCGUCUGAUUAGCUGGUUGGCGGGGUAACGGCCUACCAAGGCGACGAUCAGUAGCCGGCCUGAGAGGGUGGACGGCCACAUUGGGACUGAGACACGGCCCAAACUCCUACGGGAGGCAGCAG
rnacentral:rRNA from 1 species